GAGUUUGAUCAUGGCUCAGGAUGAACGCUAGCGGCAGGCUUAAUACAUGCAAGUCGUGGGGCAGCGGGGGUAGCAAUACCCGCCGGCGACCGGCAAACGGGUGCGGAACACGUACGCAACCUUCCUUUAACUGGAGAAUAGCCCCUCGAAAGAGGGAUUAAUACUCCGUAACAUAUUGAUAAGGCAUCUUAUUAAUAUUAUAGCUCCGGCGGUUAAAGAUGGGCGUGCGCCUGAUUAGAUAGUUGGCGGGGUAACGGCCCACCAAGUCUGCGAUCAGUAACUGGUGUGAGAGCACGACCAGUCACACGGGCACUGAGACACGGGCCCGACUCCUACGGGAGGCAGCAGUAAGGAAUAUUGGUCAAUGGACGCAAGUCUGAACCAGCCAUGCCGCGUGGAGGAUUAAGGCCCUCUGGGUUGUAAACUCCUUUUAUCCGGGAAGAAAUGCAUUUUUUCUAAAAUGCUUGACGGUACCAGAGGAAUAAGCACCGGCUAACUCCGUGCCAGCAGCCGCGGUAAUACGGAGGGUGCAAGCGUUAUCCGGAUUCACUGGGUUUAAAGGGUGCGUAGGCGGGCAGGUAAGUCCGUGGUGAAAUCUCUGAGCUUAACUCAGAAACUGCCAUGGAUACUAUUUGUCUUGAAUAUU
rnacentral:rRNA from 1 species